UGGUGGAGUGAUUUGUCUGGUUAAUUCCGUUAACGAACGAGACCGCUGCCUGCUAAAUAGUUGGAUGAGUGUUUUGACACUGAUUGCAGCUUCUUAGAGGGACAUGGAUUAUUAAAAUCCAGGAAGAUAGCGGCAAUAACA
rnacentral:rRNA from 1 species